UUAGGAAUCUUCCCCAAUGGGCGCAAGCCUGAGGGAGCGACACUGCGUGAAGGACGAAGGUUUUCGGAUCGUAAACUUCUGAACGAGGGACGAAAAAUGACGGUACCUCGCUAAAAGCACCGGCUAACUCCGUGCCAGCAGCCGCGGUAAUACGGAGGGUGCAAGCGUUAUCCGGAAUCACUGGGCGUAAAGGGCACGUAGGCGGUCUUCUAAGUCCGAUGUUAAAGCGUGGGGCUCAACCCCAUCACGGCGUUGGAUACUGGUAGGCUUGACGACUGGAGAGGUGAGUAGAAUUACCAGUGUAGCGGUGGAAUGCGUAGAUACUGGUAGGAAUACCCAUUGCGAAGGCGCUCUACUGGGCCAUGACUGACGCUGAUGGACGAAAGCUAGGGGAGCGAAAGGGAUUAGAUACCCCCGUAGUCC
rnacentral:rRNA from 1 species